UUCCGGUUGAUCCUGCCGGAAGCCACUGCUAUUGGGAUCCGACUAAGCCAUGCGAGUCGAGAGGGUUCGGCCCUCGGCAGACUGCUCAGUAACACGUGGGUAAUCUACCCUUAGGUGGAGGAUACUCUCGGGAAACUGAGAAUAAUACUCCAUAGAUCCAGGAUGCUGGAAUGCACCUAGAUUGAAAGUUCCGGCGCCUAAGGAUGAGUCUGCGGACUAUCAGGUAGUAGUCAGGGUAAAGACCUGACUAGCCUACGACGGAUACGGGUUGUGAGAGCAAUAGCCCGGAGACGAUAUCUGAGACACGAUAUCGGGCCCUACGGGGCGCAGCAGGCGCGAAAUCUUCACAAUGUGCGAAAGCACGAUGAGGGGAUCCCAAGUGUUGGUUCGUAAGAAUCAUCUGUUUCUUUGUCUAAAAAACAGAGAGAGUAAGAGCUGGGUAAGACGGGUGCCAGCCGCCGCGGUAAUACCUGCAGCUCAAGUGGUGGCCGCUAUUAUUGGGCCUAAAACGUCCGUAGCCGGUUUAGUAAAUGCUUGGGUAAAUUGUGUAGCUCAACUAUACGAAUACCGAGUAGACUGCUGAACUUGGGACCGGGAGAGGCUAGAGGUACUCCUAGGGUAGAGGUGAAAUUCUGUAAUCCUAGGGGGACCACCAGUGGCGAAGGCGUCUAGCUAGAACGGGUCUGACGGUGAGGGACGAAGCCCUGGGGCGCAAACCGGAUUAGAUACCCGGGUAGUCCAGGGUGUAAACGCUGCUCGCUUGAUGUUAGUUGGGCUCCGAGCCCAACUAGUGUCGGAGAGAAGUUGUUAAGCGAGCUGCCUGGGAAGUACGGUCGCAAGGCUGAAACUUAAAGGAAUUGGCGGGGGAGCACAGCAACGGGUGGAGCGUGCGGUUUAAUUGGAUUCAACGCCAGA
rnacentral:rRNA from 1 species